CGUAGGUGGCAAGCGUUGUCCGGAUUUAUUGGGUUUAAAGGGUGCGUAGGCGGCUUGAUAAGUCAGUGGUGAAAGCCGAUCGCUUAACGAUCGAACUGCCAUUGAUACUGCCAGGCUUAAGUAUAGUUGAGGUAGGCGGAAUUGACAGUGUAGCGGUGAAAUGCAUAGAUAUUGUCAAGAACACCAAUUGCGAAGGCAGCUUACUAAAGUAUAACUGACGCUGAGGCACGAAAGUGCGGGGAUCAAACAGGAUUAGAUACCCUGGUAGUCCGCACCGUAAACGAUGAUCACUCGCUGUGUGCGAUAAACAGUACGCGGCCAAGCGAAAGCGAUAAGUGAUCCACCUGGGGAGUACGCCCGCAAGGGUG
rnacentral:rRNA from 1 species